rnacentral:rRNA from 1 species
CGGGAGNNNCUUAAUNGCGAANGGGUGAGUAACACGUGGGCAAUCUGCCCUUCACUCUGGGACAAGCCCUGGAAACGGGGUCUAAUACCGGAUACGACCUCCGACCGCAUGGUCUGGUGGUGGAAAGCUCCGGCGGUGAAGGAUGAGCCCGCGGCCUAUCAGCUUGUUGGUGGGGUGAUGGCCUACCAAGGCGACGACGGGUAGCCGGCCUGAGAGGGCGACCGGCCACACUGGGACUGAGACACGGCCCAGACUCCUACGGGAGGCAGCAGUGGGGAAUAUUGCACAAUGGGCGAAAGCCUGAUGCACCGACGCCGCGUGAGGGAUGACGGCCUUCGGGUUGUAAACCUCUUUCAGCAGGAAAGAAGCGAGAGUGACGGUACCUGCANAAGAAGCGCCGGCUAACUACGUGCCAGCAGCCGCGGUAAUACGUAGGGCGCAAGCGUUGUCCGGAAUUAUUGGGCGUAAAGAGCUCGUAGGCGGCUUGUCACGUCGGAUGUGAAAGCCCGGGGCUUAACCCCGGGUCUGCAUUCGAUACGGGCNNGCUAGACUUCGGUAGGGGAGAUCGGAAUUCCUGGUGUAGCGGUGAAAUGCGCAGAUAUCANGANGANNNCNGUGGCGAANGCGGAUCUCUGGGACGAUACUGACNCUGAGNANGAAAGCGUGGGGAGNNNACAGAUAGAUACCCUGG